rnacentral:lncRNA from 10 species
GGUUUCCUAAGGUGUAAUCCUUUUAAUGAGAUUUUAAAGUCCUUAUAUUCCUUAAAGAGGUUUUCCUAAGCUAUAGUCCCUAUCGAUCCUUAUACUGGGAUCUUGCUGCAGGUUUUCUGGACAGGAAAGUCUAUCACUUUGGGAAACUAAAUCUUCACUGUAUCUCUGGACUGUGCAUGUCCACUUGCAGUUGUGCCCAGGUUAUUCUUGGGGUGCGGCAGUAACUAAGCAAAGCUUUCUGCAUGAACGUGGUUCCUGGUGUCAGAAUCAGAAGAGUUUAUGUUGCAAAUAUACCACUUAGUUGGAUUUCUAGUUUGUGUUUUCCUUUUCUUUUCUUUCUUUCUUCUUCUUUUUUUUUUUUUCUUUUUGAGACAAGGUCUUGCUCUGUUGCCCAAGCUGGAGUGCAGUGGUACAAUCAUGGCUCACUGCAGCCUGACCUCCCCAGCUCAAGUGAUUCUCCUGCCUCAGCCUCCUGAGUAGCUAAAACCACAGGCAUGUAUGACCAUGUCUGGCUAACUAUAUUUAUUUAUUCAUUUAUUUUCUGUAGAGACAGUGUCUGGCUAUGUUGUCCAGGCUGAUCUUGAACUCUUGGCCUCAAGCCAUCCUCCCACCUUGGCCUCCCAGAGUGCUGAGGUUUUAGGCAUGAGCCUCUGUGCCUGGCUGGAUUUCCAUAGACAGAGCAUCAUCCAUUAGAUAAUGACCAGUCCUCCAGCCCAUGAUUUCCUCUUGUACACACCCCUCUCCAGCCACUCAGGGUCACUCAUUCUCCCCUUGUUCAUUUCUCACCCCAAGACUUUGCUCCUGGGGGUCUGUUUUCCUGGAGGGCCCUUCCCCUAAGCUAUUAUCCCUGUUAUCCCCUGCUCCCCAUCUUCCACCCAGCCAAAAGUAUCCUCUUUCCUCCAAACUCCUAUAACCCUUAGUUUACACUUUCUUUUCGGUAAUUGUUACUUUUGCCCUAAGGCCACCACUAUCCACAUGAGGGGAUGAAUCCUGUCCUGGGCU